rnacentral:tRNA from 1 species
GGGGCUGUGGCGGAACUGGCAGACGCGCUAGAUUUAGGUUCUAGUACCGCAAGGUGUGCAGGUUCGAUUCCUGUCAGCCCUAC